rnacentral:rRNA from 1 species
UACGUAGGGGGCAAGCGUUGUCCGGAUUUAUUGGGCGUAAGCGCGUGUAGGUGGCCAUGUAGGUCCGCUGUGAAAACUUGAGGCUCAACCUCAAGCUGUCGGUGGAAACCACAUGGCUAGAGUCCGGAAGAGGAGAGUGGAAUUCCUGGUGUAGCGGUGAAAUGCGCAGAUAUCAGGAAGAACACCAAUGGCGAAGGCAGCUCUCUGGGACGGUAUCUG